AGAGUUUGAUCCUGGCUCAGGAUGAACGCUAGCUACAGGCUUAACACAUGCAAGUCGAGGGGCAGCGAUGAAGAAAGCUUGCUUUCUUCAGGCGGCGACCGGCGCACGGGUGAGUAACGCGUAUCGAACCUGCCUCAUACUCAGGAAUAGCCUUGCGAAAGUAAGAUUAAUGCCCGAUGUUAUUAGGAUAUCACAUGAUGUUUUAAUUAAAGAUUUAUCGGUAUGAGAUGGCGAUGCGUCCCAUUAGCUUGUUGGCGGGGUAACGGCCCACCAAGGCAUCGAUGGGUAGGGGUUCUGAGAGGAAGGUCCCCCACAUUGGAACUGAGACACGGUCCAAACUCCUACGGGAGGCAGCAGUGAGGAAUAUUGGUCAAUGGACGCAAGUCUGAACCAGCCAAGUAGCGUGCAGGAUGACGGCCCUCUGGGUUGUAAACUGCUUUUAGUUGGGAAUAAAGUGCACCACGUGUGGUGUUUUGUAUGUACCAUCAGAAAAAGGACCGGCUAAUUCCGUGCCAGCAGCCGCGGUAAUACGGAAGGUCCAGGCGUUAUCCGGAUUUAUUGGGUUUAAAGGGAGCGCAGGCGGACCUUUAAGUCAGCUGUGAAAUACGGCGGCUCAACCGUCGAACUGCAGUUGAUACUGGAGGUCUUGAGUGCACACAGGGAUACUGGAAUUCAUGGUGUAGCGGUGAAAUGCUCAGAUAUCAUGAAGAACUCCGAUCGCGAAGGCAGGUAUCCGGGGUGCAACUGACGCUGAGGCUCGAAAGUGCGGGUAUCAAACAGGAUUAGAUACCCUGGUAGUCCGCACAGUAAACGAUGAAUACUCGCGAUUUGCGAUACACAGUAAGUCGCCAAGCGAAAGCGUUAAGUAUUCCACCUGGGGAGUACGCCGGCAACGGUGAAACUCAAAGGAAUUGACGG
rnacentral:rRNA from 1 species